GUGGGGAAUUUUGGACAAUGGGGGCAACCCUGAUCCAGCCAUCCCGCGUGUGCGAUGAAGGCCUUCGGGUUGUAAACUGCUUUUGUACGGAACGAAACGGUCCGGGUUAAUACCCUGGGCUAAUGACGGUACCGUAAGAAUAAGCACCGGCUAACUACGUGCCAGCAGCCGCGGUAAUACGUAGGGUGCAAGCGUUAAUCGGAAUUACUGGGCGUAAAGCGUGCGCAGGCGGUUUUGUAAGACAGAUGUGAAAUCCCCGGGCUCAACCUGGGAACUGCAUUUGUGACUGUAUAGCUAGAGUACGGUAGAGGGGGAUGGAAUUCCGCGUGUAGCAGUGAAAUGCGUAGAUAUGCGGAGGAACACCGAUGGCGAAGGCAAUCCCCUGGACCUGUACUGACGCUCAUGCACGAAAGCGUGGGGAGCAAACAGGAUUAGAAACCCUAGUAGUCC
rnacentral:rRNA from 1 species